GGGGUUGACGGUACCCUACUAGAAAGGAGCCGCUAACUUCGUGCCAGAAGCGUCGGUAAUACGGGGGCUCCAAGCGUUAUCCGGUGUUAUUGGGCGUAAAGAGUCGUGUAGGUGGUUGGGUAAGUUAUCUUUCAAAUAUCUUUGCUUAACAAAGAGGAGGGGGAUAAUACUGCUCGACUAGAAUUUUCUCAAGGGAGAUCGGAACUGAGGGAGGAGUAGUGAAAUGCGUUGAUACCCUCGGGAACACCAGUGGCGUAGGCGGAUCUCUGGGAGAAGAUUGACACUGAGACACGAAAGCUAGGGGAGCGAAGCAGAUUAGAGACCUGCGUAGUCCUAGCCGUAAACGCAUGCUUGCUAGCUGCAUGAAUCUACCUUCGGGUGGUAUCGUGUGGCGAAGGUAACCCGUUAAGCAAGCCGCCUGGAAAGUACGGCCGCAAGGCUGAAAUUCAAAGGAAUUGGCGGGGAGGCACACAACCUGUGGAACAUGUGGUUUAAUUCGAGACUAACCGAAGAACCUCACCAGGGUUUGACAUGUAGCUGCACGUCUUAAGAAAUUAAGACUCUCUUGAAGGUGCUACACAGGUGCUGCAUGGCUGUCGUCAGCUCGUUCCGUGAGGAGUGCCCUUAAGUGGGACAACGAGCGCAACCCCUAUUACAUGUUAGAAAUGUCAUGUAAGACUGCCUUGCCAUUUGGCGGGGAGGAAGGAGGGGCAGACGUCAAGUCCGCAUGGUCCUUAUGCCCUGGGCUACACACAUGUUACAAUGAGUACGGCAAUGAGUCUGUCGCGAGCACGUAAGUGUAAGCUAAUCUCUUAAAUGUACUCUCAGUGGGGAUUGAGGUCUGCAACUCGACCUCAUGAACACGGAAUUGGUAGUAAUCGCGGGUCAGCUAUACCGCGGUGAUACGUUCUUGCCUCUUGCACACACCGCCCGUCAAACCAGCAAAGUCGAUUGUAUCCGAACCUCUCUUUU
rnacentral:rRNA from 1 species